rnacentral:rRNA from 1 species
UAGGGAAUCUUCGGCAAUGGACGAAAGUCUGACCGAGCAACGCCGCGUGAGUGAAGAAGGUUUUCGGAUCGUAAAACUCUGUUGGUAGAGAAGAACGUUGGUGAGAGUGGAAAGCUCAUCAAGUGACGGUAACUACCCAGAAAGGGACGGACUAACUACGUGCCAG